rnacentral:rRNA from 1 species
UACGUAGGGUGCGAGCGUUAAUCGGAAUUACUGGGCGUAAAGCGUGCGCAGGCGGUUUUGUAAGACAGAUGUGAAAUCCCCGGGCUCAACCUGGGACCUGCAUUUGUGACUGCAAGGUUGGAGUACGGCAGAGGGGGAUGGAAUUCCGCGUGUAGCAGUGAAAUGCGUAGAUAUGCGGAGGAACACCGAUGGCGAAGGCAAUCCCCUGGGCCUGUACUGACGCUCAUGCACGAAAGCGUGGGGAGCAAACAGG